rnacentral:tRNA from 1 species
GUACCCGUGGCUUAACGGAUAGAGCGAUUGGCUACGGACCAAUAGGCUGGGGGUUCGAGUCCCUCCGGGUAUACCA